AAAGUGAAAUGUAGUGCCGUGUUUUUUUUUCUUUUGAAAAAAAUUAGAAAAUUAUGGAACUAAUGUUUCAUAAAAAUUAUAAAAAUAAUAUCAAUGAAAGUAGAUGAACCAUGAAAAGAAGGAUAUAUUCAACAGGUAUAUGCAAUAUAUUUAACAGGUUCAGAGUUCAGAUAAAAACUUGCGCAGUUGGAUGCCUACUGAAUCCAUCAAAUAAGAAACAAUUUGCGACUGUGGCGUCACGACGAAACAAAGUUAUUUUUUAAUUUUUAACUGUUUAAAUUUAAGUAAUUUUUGGAAUAUGAAAUGUAAAUAAAAUAAAAAAAAUAUGAUAAUUUUAUUUUAGUUGGUUCAACGAUAAUAAAUUUGAAAUCUUACAAACGUAA